AAACUCCGUGCGGGAGAGCUCCCGGCUGGUGCGUGCACCGACCGGGACGCCGAAGGGGCAUUUCCUCCCACCAACCUCUCAGGCCACAGGACCGCACGGGCUGG
rnacentral:ncRNA from 2 species